GCCUCAGUAGCUCAGUUGGCAGAGUAUUUGCUUCGUAAGCAAAGGGUCGGGGGUUCGACUCCCCCCUGAGGCU
rnacentral:tRNA from 7 species